rnacentral:rRNA from 12 species
UUAGGGAUAAGGAGUAGCUUUAUAAGGGUAACCUUUUAAAGCUGUCACAAAAUCGAGGACAGCGAGUGGUUAAUAAAACCACAGGUUUCUGCUAAUUUGUAAAAAGAUGUAUAGAAACUGACGCCUGCCCGGUGCUGUAAAAGUAAAGGAUAAAAGUUCCGGCUUUAACCCUAAUUCUCAGUAAACGGCGGCUGUAACUCUGACGGUCCAAAGGUAGCGAAAUUCCUUGGCAUUUAAUUGGUGUCCUGCAUGAAUGGCGUAACGACUGUCCUACUGUCUCCAAUGCAAAUUCAGUGAAAUUGAAUUCUCCGUGAAGAUGCGGAGUUCCUGCAGCUAGACGGAAAGACCCCGUGCACCUUUACUAUAAGUAUAUAUUGUACCAAAAAAUAUUGUGUAUAGUUAUAUGUGGGAAGUUGUUCUAAAACUUUACGCAAGUAAACUUUAUAAACGCAAGUGAAAUACCACUCUC